rnacentral:rRNA from 1 species
CGGCGGACGGGUGAGUAACACGUGGAUAACCUACCUAUAAGACUGGGAUAACUUCGGGAAACCGGAGCUAAUACCGGAUAAUAUUUUGAACCGCAUGGUUCAAAAGUGAAAGACGGUCUUGCUGUCACUUAUAGAUGGAUCCGCGUUGCAUUAGCUAGUUGGUAAGGUAACGGCUUACCAAGGCAACGAUGCAUAGCCGACCUGAGAGGGUGAUCGGCCACACUGGAACUGAGACACGGUCCAG